GAUAACCUACUAUAAGACUGGGAUAACUUCGGGAAACCGGAGCUAAUACCGGAUAAUAUAUUGAACCGCAUGGUUCAAUAGUGAAAGACGGUUUUGCUGUCACUUAUAGAUGGAUCCGCGCCGCAUUAGCUAGUUGGUAAGGUAACGGCUUACCAAGGCAACGAUGCGUAGCCGACCUGAGAGGGUGAUCGGCCACACUGGAACUGAGACACGGUCCAG
rnacentral:rRNA from 1 species